rnacentral:lncRNA from 1 species
AAACACUCUGACGCUCAAGUAAGCAAGGUCACCAAGAGAUCAAAGUAUAUAGAUCAGAAUCUAGUCGUGUACCUGGCUAUCAUGUUUGUAUUUAUAGGCAUUAGGCCCAAUAAUGGACAUUAACUUCUCGUAACCGUUGCACCUUGCUGCGCAAGAUUCGCUUCUUAACGUAACCGUCAGAUCAUGUAAGUUUCCUUUCCCACAAUAUUCGCUCAUUAAUGUUACUAACCAUCCUCUGACACCGCCUGCACUCCUCUCUUAACUGGUCGAGCCUUUGUUGCCUCCGAUCUUCGUCCCACCCUAUCGAUUCUCCACCUCCCCCGAACAUACAUUCCGCCUUCAGCCUAAACUGACCGCUCAAAUACUUCUCCCGAACAUACAUACUACAAAUAAGCCCCCACGCCCCGAGCG